CUCAGGCAAUCCACCUGCCUCAGCCUCCCAAAGUGCUGAGAUUAUAGGUGUAAGCCACGAGACGAGCCUAAAUGAUACUUUUUGAGAAAAACUUCCUGACACACCCCUCCUCCAUCCUAAUUAUGUCUCUUUCCUGCUAGUGUCUCUCAUAAAGCCUCUUCUUUUGUUUCCCCGUAGAAUUAGUAAUUAUGUGUCUUUGUGCUUUUUUAUGUAAUGUCUCUCUCCUGCUAGACUCCAAACUCCACGUAGGCAGGGAGCCUGUCUGCUGCUCUCAACUUUGGACUCAGCAUCGAACAUAGUCCCUGGUGCUUAGAAGAUGCUCAACAAAUACUUCACAAUUGAAUGAACACAUGGCUAUGCUGUCAUAGAAUUUGAAAGCUCUCAUUUUAAUAAAGCUUUAAGGGGAUUUUUGAUUUGGGAUUUUUACUUCCCCUGGACCUGGAGGAAGAGAAAGGAAGGUCAAUGAGAGCGUGAUGACGGUGCAGAGGCACCUAGGCAAAGCUCUGUGGCCUUUGGGAAAAGACACUACUUGGCUCAGGGCAUUAAAUACAUGUGUGACCUUAAUUCUUCUGUCAAAACAACAACAACAAAAUCCCCAAACUAUGAAAAGCCACAGACUUCUAGGAAUAGAAGACAAAAGGAGGAAGGAGGAGGAGGAGGAAGAUACCAAGGGGAAAAUGAUGUGAAAAGCUGAUUUUGUAGCCCUGAGCAUAUAGGAAAAGCCUCCAUGGUGAUGACUUCUUUGAAUAAAUGUUGCUUAAAGAAAAAGAAGGCACCAGAAAGAGCAGAAAACAACUGGGUGAAUGAAAGAAGAAUGUCAUGCAGAGGAGAGGACCCUGUGGCUGCUGAAUUGAGAAUGGUGUGAGAAAGUAAAGACUGAAGCAGAAAAACAGUUUGGAGGCUACUGCAACAAUCCAGGCAAGAAGUGAUGGUGGCUUCAUCAUGGAGGAAGGGAGCCACUCAGGUUCUGGAUAGCCUGGGAGGUUGAGCAAGCCAUGAAAUGGGAGAGAAAAAGAGGAAUCAAGCCUGAUUCCGAGACUGCUGGCAGGAGCGCCUGGAAGGAUGAUGGUUACCUUCUCUAUGGAGGGGAAGGUAUGGGAGAAGACAGCAUGGUGUGUGAAGAAGUCCAGAAGUUUGGUUUUGGACAUAUUAAGUUUCAGUUGCUUAGUAGAUAUAUCUUUCUUAUUUAUGUUGAAUUCUCCAUCCAACUUAGAGGGUAGACAGGGUUUCUUUUUCAGUAUUACAAUCUAACAGGAACUGAGAACUUACAGAACAGACCAGUAGGAACUGAAACAGUAGAAGGGUUGGGGAAGAGGGUUUUGAGUGUUUUUGUUUAAAUAUAAGGAGACAAAUUUACAUCCCACAAUCCGUUUUCCUUCAGCAACUAGUAGUACUUUUCUCGCAGUCUUUAACAGCUAGCCAGGGCCACUAGCUCUCAGUGUUGUACUCCCUUGGACUAGGUAAUUCUGAAGGAAAGAUCAGAAUAAUGAGAAGUAUGUGGGUCCUAUUGGGAAAGGCAGCCCACCAUGGACCCUGAAGGUCCCUGCCUGUUCUUGCUGAGUGUGCUGGAUUUUUUUUUUUUUUUUUUUUUGAGACGGAGUCUCACUCACUCUGUCGCUCAGGCUGGAGUGCAGUGGCGUGAUCUCAACUCACUGCAACCUCCGUUUUCUGGGUUCAAGCUAUUCUCUUGCCUCAGCCUCCCGAGUAGCUGGGAUUACAGGCAUCCACCACCACGCCUGACUAAUUUUUGUAUUUUUAGUGGAGACAUGUUGGCCAGGCUAGUUUUGAAACCCUGACCUCAGGUGAUCCGCCCUCGUUGGCCUCCCAAAGUGCUGGCAUUACAGGUGUGAGCCACUGCGUCCAGCCGAGUGUACUGGAUUUUAAGACUGAUCUGUCUCCUGAUACUGAAUGGUUUCUCUGGUUAGUCACACAGGCAAUUAAGCAGGUCAAAGUGGAGAAAGACUGGCUUAUUUGCUGCUUGCUCAAGGGCUGGGCCCUUAGCCCUGGGUUCCUCUCCUGUAAUGCAACCCACUGCAUGCGCAGGUAUCAUCUAGGACUAUCAUGUCAUCCCUGUGUUGUGUAUGGGGAAGGGAACUAGUGCAAAUAUGCUCAUGUUGUUUGCUGUGCUGUGCUGUUAGUAAUAAAAUCCUUUGUCUCUGACCCAAGAGUCUUAUGUCUUCUGCCAGCAUCAAUGAAACAGUUAACAGUGUAAGUUGGAGAAAGUUCCAGAGCUUUUACAGUUCUUGACAGGCCUCAUCUCUCUCAAAGGAGUCUAAAGCUCCAUCUGGGAUUAAGGGGUAGCUUGGGGUGAAACAUGAUGGGGAUCUGGCCAGAUGCCCCAGGUCCAGCUAGGAAGGAAUCCAUUUUCUCUUGGGGACUUUGGUACUGAAUGAAAUAUUUGGAGAUGGGAGCAAAAUGAAGGAAACAGAUUAUAUGAAGUUUAAGGGAUUAGGCUAAUUUCCAAUUUGUUGAUACUCCUUGAUUCAACAUAUAGUGGUAAACAUGAGUCCUUUUGUAAUCCCUUAGGCUUAAGUAGAAGAUGGGGACAGGUGGAAAGUGCAUUUUUAGAGUAAAGGUAGCAGAUAAUGAUUGCUGAAACAAAAGAAAUCCAAGUCCACUUUUGCCUAGGGAGGGACAGUUGGCCAGGCCACAAAAAAAAAAAAAAAAAAAAAAAAAAGAAAGAAAGAAAGAAAGAAAAAGAGCAGGGCCUGAAUUUUUACAAAGAAAAUCAGUUCGCCAUUUCCUUUUAAGAAAUUUUAGCCUGGCUAGACCACUGGUGUGCUGACUCUCCUCAUUCACAUUAAUUACUAUGGAGACCACCUCCCUUCUGUGUGGUGCUGAUGCCCAGUGAGGGACCAUCCAGCAGAUGCCUAUGGAAGUGCUGGGGGAAGUACAAGGCCUAGAAGAGUUUAUUUAUUGUCUAUGGGAACACCAGAAGGAGAUAUCAUUUCAGUAAGCAUCACCUUUUAAAAAUGGACAGUACUGGCUGGGCGCGGUGGCUCAGGCCUGUAAUCCCAGCACUUUGGGAGGCCGAGGCGGGUGGAUCACGAGGUCAGGAGAUCGAGACCAUCCUGGCUAAAACCGUGAAACCCUGUAUCUACUAAAAACACACACACACACACACACACACACACACACACACACACACACACACUCACAAAUUAGCCGGGCUUGGUGGUGGGUGCCUGUGGUCCCAGCUACUCAGCAGGCUGAGGCAGGAGAAUGGCGCGAACCCGGGAGGCGGAGCUUGCAGUGAGCGGAGAUCGCACCACUGCACUCCAGCCUGGGUGGCUGAGCAAGACUCCGUCUCAAAAAAAGAAAAAAAAAAGGACAGUUCUAAUUUAGAAACGUGCUAAAUACCUGAAGAUCUGCAAAUUUAUUAUUAUUAUCAUUAUCAUUAUUAUUAUUAUUUUGAGACAGAGUCUUGCUCUGUUGCCCAGGCUGGAGUGCAGUGGUGCAAUCUCGGCUCACUGCAACUUCUGCCUCCCAGGUUCAAGGGAUUCUCCUGCCUCAGCCUCCCGAGUAGCUGAGAUCACAGGCACGUGCCAUCACACCUGGCUAAUUUUUGUAUUUUUAGCAGAGAUAGGGUUUCACUGUCUUGGUCAGGCUGGUCUCGAACUCCUCAGCUCAAGCAAUCUGCUCGCCUCGGCCUCCCAAAGUGCUGGGAUUACAGGUGUGAGCCACCACACCUGGCCCCAAAUUUAUUGUUUAUACUAUAUGCGGUGUAAUCCUUCUUCCUUCUAUUGGAGCCCAUCUUUUUUGAGUUGAUAUCAAUGAUGAAAAAGGGAGAGAGUGCAUGAUGGCGCUUGUCUGGAACCAUUGACACAAAAAGCACACGGAUUAAUCAAUACUGCAGCAAUAGGCUUGAGUGAGAUACAGGGAAAUCUCAUUUUCCCACCAGUGAUUUCAUCAGUGGUUUAUCCUGUGGCCCCUCUAGCUUCUUCAGCCCUCUGGCUUGCCAAGUCUGUUCCUAGAGGGAUGAGGAGAGGGUUAGUUUGACACACUGUGACAAAUGUUACAUAAGUACCUGAUGUUGAUAGACAUACUCUGUCUUUCCCUUGCCCCCUUAAGAAAGUAGAAGGGUCCCUGUGGCUCAUGCCUGUAAUCCCAGCACUUUGGGAUGCUGAGGUGAGAAGAUCACUUACGCCUGGGAGUUUGAGACCUGGGCAACAAAGUAAGAUCCCAUCUGCGGAAAAAAAAAAAAAUUAGCCUGGCCUGGCAUGGUGGUGCACGCCUGUGGUCCCAGCUCCUUGAGAGGCUGAAGUGGGAGGAUUGCUUGAGACAGGAGGUUGAGGCUGCAGUAAGCCCUGAUCAUGCCACUGUACUCCAGCCUGGGUAACAGAGCAAGAACCUGUCUCAAAAAGAAAGUAGGAAAUACUUAAUUCCAAUAUUUUUUAUCCCUUUGAACUACACUGCCAUCCCCAAUAGGAAAAGAUAAGAAAAUGGAAAGAUGAUGAAAUUGAAAGAUGCCAGAAGCCAUUUUGAUAAGAAGUAGGAAGCUCUGUACUUCUAUACAUAUAUAAUACUCUUAUUUCACAGAGUGUAUUGGCUGAAUUUUUAAAAAUCUUUAUCUUCCCCCAUACAAAAUAGCCUGUCUUAUUUUAAUGUGCAAAAUUUCUUAUUACUCCUCUUACUCACUGUUCCAAGCAUUUCUAUAAAAGGACAAACAUGAUAUCUCAAACUGAAGUCUACAUCACUGACUUCCAAAUUAGAUUCUCAUUAUUUCUAUCCUCUUCUGCUCUCAUGUCUUACAACAAAAAAUGCAUUAAUUGCAGACAGUCUCUGAAUCAGGCUCCUGCAAUAGGGUUGGUGAAUUAAUGGAAGUUUCCGCAUCAUUUAAAAAACGAAGAGCACUAGUACAAAUUCAUUGUUUCUACAGCAGGGAUUUUUGUGGGUAAUCAUUAUCUGCCUGAGUCCAAAGACAGAGAUAUAAUUACAUUCUUCUCCGGGGAAUGGUCUGUUGAGAAAAACACUUCCAGCUUUGUUGCUGAGAAGCAGCAUUAGGGCUGGAAAAAAAAAAGAAAGAAAGAAAUACCGAUUAUCAUGUGUUCUGGAAGGGAGGGACUGAUGGUCUGAGAAGGAGGCAUGUACACUGCAGGUUUUUGAGUAGAGAAAUGUUUCCUCUAGGUCCUGAGCUUUUUCUAUGCAUUCCAGACCAUCCCUAGGUUGUGAUACUGGGUAACCAAACAGGCCUAUUUUUCAGGGUACCCGAACAGCCACGUAUCAGCUCUCCAACUAUAGGGUUGUCACUGUGCUGUCCACUACAGGACAUAGGAACUUCCCACAUCAGCCAUGUGUUGUUUCCCAUACAAUGGGUGGGUUUGGUAGCUUGGUGAAUGACAGUCCAAUGACCAGAACCAAAGAGGAUUGUUAACAAGGGGAUUUUCUUACUUGCAACAGAUAAGAACACCUGGUCCCAAAGCAGUACCUCCCGGGACUGGGAGCUGGAUCUAGUUUUUAUAAGCAAAGGGUAAUGAGGCAUGAUCUCACUGGAUCCUGCCAUGGGGUGACGCCACAGCUAGAUCUGAUUGGAUCCUGGAUCCUGCCAUGGGGUAACGCCACAGCUAGAUUUGAUUGGAUCCUGGAUCCUGCCAUGGGGUGACGCCACAGCUAGAUCUGAUUGGAUCCUGGAUCCUGCCAUGUGGUGUCCACUUCUUAAUCCAGUCCCCUGCCCUCAGCCUGAGCACUUAGGUUCCCCCUGUGAUUCUUGGUUCAUCUGGGCAUGCCCAGGUCACGUGACCCAAGGGUCCAGGGCAACUGAAAAACAACCCACAACUUUGUUACAUAAAAGAUGAAUCAGAUGGGUCUGGUGCUAUAAUGUGA
rnacentral:lncRNA from 10 species